AUUGAGCACGUAGGUGGGUUUGUAAGUCAGAUGUGAAAUCCUUCUGUUCAACGGAAGAAUUGCAUCUGAAACUGCGAGUCUUGAGUGUAGGAGGGGAGAAUGGAACUUCUGGUGGAGCGGUGAAAUGCGUAGAUAUCAGAAGGAACCCCGGCGGCGAAAGCGAUUCUCUGGCCUAUUACUGACACUCAGUGUGCGAAAGCUAGGGGAGCAAACGGGAUUAGAUACCCCGGUAGUCCUAGCCGUAAACGAUGGGCACUAAGUAGAGGGG
rnacentral:rRNA from 1 species